CUACGGGUCGCAGCAGUGGGGAAUAUUGGACAAUGGGCGCAAGCCUGAUCCAGCAAUACCGCGUGUGUGAAGAAGGCCCGAGGGUUGUAAAGCACUUUCAGUAGGGAGGAUUGAUUUUACGGAUAAUACCCGUGAAGUUUGACGUUACCUACAGAAGAAGCACCGGCUAACUCAGUGCCAGCAGCCGCGGUAAUACUGAGAGUGCAAGCGUUAAUCGGAAUUACUGGGCGUAAAGCGCGCGUAGGUGGUUAGAUCAGUUGGGUGUGAAAGCCCCGGGCUCAACCUGGGAACUGCAUUCAAUACUGUCUAGCUAGAGUACGGUAGAGGGAAGUGGAAUUCCGCAUGUAGCGGUGAAAUGCGUAGAGAUGCGGAGGAACACCAGUGGCGAAGGCGACUUCCUGGACCGAUACUGACACUGAGGUGCGAAAGCGUGGGGAGCAAACAGGAUUAGAUACCCGGGUAGUC
rnacentral:rRNA from 1 species